UGCAUCUUCCACUUUUACCUGCCAUUAGCAUUGCUCAGGCAUCAAGUGUGGCAUUGUUCAUCCAUUUUAUCAUAUUCCUCUGCAGGUGAUGUUAAAGAUGAAGAGAACAUAUUACCAGGAGCGUUUUCAAAUAGAAAGAGUAAGUGAGGAAGCUCAUUCCACUGCCAAUGAAGGGUUCAUCAGGAUCCCUUGUUCACGCAAGAAGUCUAGCUGUGGUGCUGCUCUGCUUCUGUUACUUAUUCUCGUCAUCACCAACAGAGGGUGUGGCCACAGGGAUGGAGGGCUUCCUUGAGUUUGAAUGCUGUAAACGGGCCGCACCACCAUGAUAGCUAGAAAUGAGUCACAGAAGGUUACUUUGGCAUUCUUCAAGAUUGGAGGGAAGUAUAAGAAACAGGGAUAAAAGGGGAUGGAAUCAGGGAUUGGCAUCAACAAGCUGUUAUAGUCAAGGAUGACAUGAAUGUAAUCUUUAAGAUGUUAUGACAUACUAGAGCAUUUCAAUUUUUUAAAAUUUUAGAGGUCA